CCGCAUAAGCCCACGGGUCGGCAUCGACCAGAGGGAAAAGGAGCAAUCCGCUUUGAGAUGGCCUCGCGUCCGAUUAGCUAGUUGGUGAGGUAACGGCCCACCAAGGCAACGAUCGGUAGCCGGACUGAGAGGUUGAACGGCCACAUUGGGACUGAGACACGGCCCAGACUCCUACGGGAGGCAGCAGUGGGGAAUAUUGCACAAUGGGGGAAACCCUGAUGCAGCGACGCCGCGUGGAGGAAGAAGGUCUUCGGAUUGUAAACUCCUGUUGUUGAGGAAGAUAAUGACGGUACUCAACAAGGAAGUGACGGCUAACUACGUGCCAGCAGCCGCGGUAAAACGUAGGUCACAAGCGUUGUCCGGAAUUACUGGGUGUAAAGGGAGCGCAGGCGGGAAGACAAGUUGGAAGUGAAAUCCAUGGGCUCAACCCAUGAACUGCUUUCAAAACUGUUUUUCUUGAGUAGUGCAGAGGUAGGCGGAAUUCCCGGUGUAGCGGUGGAAUGCGUAGAUAUCGGGAGGAACACCAGUGGCGAAGGCGGCCUACUGGGCACCAACUGACGCUGAGGCUCGAAAGUGUGGGUAGCAAAC
rnacentral:rRNA from 1 species